AACUUUGUGUUUGAUGCUUUGCAAUCAUACUCCCCCCGGAACCCAAAGACUUUGGUUUCCCGGAUGCUACCCGGCGGGUCAUGGGAAUAACGCCGCCAGAU